rnacentral:rRNA from 1 species
UACGGAGGGUGCGAGCGUUAAUCGGAAUCACUGGGCGUAAAGCGCGCGUAGGCGGCUUUUCAAGUCAGGGGUGAAAUCCCACGGCUCAACCGUGGAACAGCCCUUGAUACUGCGCGACUUGAAUCCGGGAGAGGGUGGCGGAAUUCCAGGUGUAGGAGUGAAAUCCGUAGAUAUCUGGAGGAACAUCAGUGGCGAAGGCGGCCACCUGGACCGGUAUUGACGCUGAGGCGCGAAAGCGUGGGGAGCAAACAGG